rnacentral:lncRNA from 1 species
AUUAAACGUAGUUAGAACCUCCCUCAAAGUCCUGAUUACUUUGCAAGAAACAUUUCGUCCUUAAAUACUGGGUAAGUCUAUUAAACAGUGAAAUAGCAUUUUACCCUGUAUAUCAUGUUGUCAGAGCUAUAAUGUGCAGUAUUACAAACUAUUCAUAAGUGUUGUGCAAACUGUUCAUUAAAAGUCAGUGAUCUAGCGAGCUAUAGAACAUUUAUUUAUUUAUUCUUUAAAGCUCUGACAUCAAUCGGCAAAACAAUAUUGUAAUGGUGUCCAUUGCAAUCUGCUAUCUAUACUUGCUGUAUAUGUUCAGAGAUUUCUUGGGCAAUAAUAAAUCCCCAAAAACAACAGCUUUGCAUUUAUGCUAAACCUGCCUGUUGUAAACGUAUUCUGUAUAUUUCUUGUCAUAAGUACUUGUACUUAAAUCUGUUUAACAAAGCUG